rnacentral:rRNA from 1 species
CCUACGGGUGGCAGCAGUCGAGAAUCUUUCACAAUGGGGGAAACCCUGACGAUGCGACGCCGCGUGAGGGAAUGAAGGCCUUCGGAUUGUAAACCCCUGUCAUGUGGGAGCAAAUUAAAAAGAUAGUCCCACAAGAGGAAGAGACGGCUAACUCGGUGCCCGCAGCCGCGGUACUACAGAGGUCUCAAGCGUUGUUCGGAAUCACUGGGCGUAAAGCGUGCGUAGGCUGUUUCGUAAGUCGUGUGUGAAAGGCGCGAGCUCAACCCGCGGACGGCACAUGAUACUGCGAGACUAGAGUAAGGGAGGGGGAACCGGAAUUCUCGGUGUAGCAGUGAAAUGCGUAGAUAUCGAGAGGAACACUCGUGGCGAAGGCGGGUUCCUGGACAUUAACUGACGCUGAGGCACGAAGGCCAGGGGAGCGAAAGGGAUUAGAUACCCGAGUAGUC